UACGUAGGGUGCGAGCGUUGUCCGGAUUUAUUGGGCGUAAAGAGCUCGUAGGCGGUUUGUCGCGUCGGCCGUGAAAUCUCCACGCUUAACGUGGAGCGUGCGGUCGAUACGGGCAGACUCGAGUCCGGUAGGGGAGUGUGGAAUUCCCGGUGUAGCGGUGAAAUGCGCAGAUAUCGGGAGGAACACCAGUAGCGAAGGCGGCACUCUGGGCCGGUACUGACGCUGAGGAGCGAAAGCGUGGGGAGCGAACAGG
rnacentral:rRNA from 1 species